rnacentral:rRNA from 1 species
CCUACGGGGGGCAGCAGUGAGGAAUAUUGGUCAAUGGACGAGAGUCUGAACCAGCCAAGUAGCGUGAAGGAUGACUGCCCUAUGGGUUGUAAACUUCUUUUAUAUGGGAAUAAAACGUUCCACGUGUGGGAUUUUGUAUGUACCAUAUGAAUAAGGAUCGGCUAACUCCGUGCCAGCAGCCGCGGUAAUACGGAGGACCCGAGCGUUAUCCGGAUUUAUUGGGUUUAAAGGGAGCGUAGGUGGAUUGUUAAGUCAGUUGUGAAAGUUUGCGGCUCAACCGUAAAAUUGCAGUUGAAACUGGCAGUCUUGAGUACAGUAGAGGUGGGCGGAAUUCGUGGUGUAGCGGUGAAAUGCUUAGAUAUCACGAAGAACUCCGAUUGCGAAGGCAGUUCACUGGACUGCAACUGACACUGAGGCUCGAAAGUGUGGGUAUCAAACAGGAUUAGAUACCCUGGUAGUC